UACAGAGGGGGCAAGCGUUGUUCGGAAUUACUGGGCGUAAAGGGCGCGUAGGCGGCCUGCUAAGUCGAUCGUGAAAUCCCCGGGCUUAACCUGGGAACUGCAUCCGAUACUGGAUGGCUUGAAUCCGGGAGAGGGAUGCAGAAUUCCAGGUGUAGCGGUGAAAUGCGUAGAUAUCUGGAGGAAUACCGGUGGCGAAGGCGGCAUCCUGGACCGGCAUUGACGCUGAUGAGCGAAAGCUAGGGGAGCAAACGGG
rnacentral:rRNA from 1 species